rnacentral:rRNA from 1 species
UACAGAGGUGGCGAGCGUUGUUCGGAUUUACUGGGCGUAAAGGGUGCGCAGGCGGUUCCGCAUGUCGGGUGUGAAAUCUCACCGUCCAUCGGUGAAACGGCACUCGAAACUGCGGGGCUAGAGUACGGGAGAGGAGAGCGGAAUUCUCGGUGUAGCGGUGAAAUGCGUAGAUAUCGAGAGGAACGCCGGUGGCGAAGGCGGCUCUCUGGAACGAUACUGACGCUGAGGCACGAAAGCUGGGGGAGCAAACAGGAUUAGAUACCCCGGUA